rnacentral:rRNA from 1 species
AUUGAACGCUGGCGGCACGCUUUACACAUGCAAGUCGAACGGCAGCGCGGGCUUCGGCCUGGCGGCGAGUGGCGAACGGGUGAGUAAUGCAUCGGAACGUGCCCAGUAGUGGGGGAUAGCCCGGCGAAAGCCGGAUUAAUACCGCAUACGACCUGAGGGUGAAAGCGGGGGACCGAAAGGCCUCGCGCUAUUGGAGCGGCCGAUGUCGGAUUAGCUAGUUGGUGGGUAAAGGCUUACCAAGGCGACGAUCCGUAGCUGGUCUGAGAGGACGACCAGCCACACUGGGACUGAGACACGGCCCAGACUCCUACGGGAGGCAGCAGUGGGGAAUUUUGGACAAUGGGGGCAACCCUGAUCCAGCCAUGCCGCGUGCGGGAAGAAGGCCUUCGGGUUGUAAACCGCUUUUGUUCGGGAAGAAAUCCUCUGGGCUAAUACCCCGGGGGGAUGACGGUACCGGAAGAAUAAGCACCGGCUAACUACGUG